AAGCUAUGAUGAUAUUGGCUUAAGCAUUGGGUGGGUCCUUUGCAUUUUUCUGAAUUAUCAGUUGAGAUAUGCCACACCUCUGAGCUC